rnacentral:lncRNA from 1 species
CAUUGAGCAUUUUAACAUCAACAGCUGCUGCUGUAUUUUGUGUUAGGAAAUAGAUGUGGUAUAUUGUCAAAAAAAGGAGAAGAUGGACUUAGAGAACUGAUAUGAUACACUGUAAGAUGUGCUAUCCAGGAAGAUUGCAGCUUCAUGCAGUCACCCCAUACUACAGUAUUGUUAUCUGAUGUGCUUUACAAAGUGUGGCUGCCCUAAGCAUCUCAGAGCUUUUAACCACUGUAUAACCUGCAGAAUAGGCCAAGGUCAUGAGGGAAGGCAGGCUGCAAUGUUUCACAAGUCCAUGAUGAAGAAAAUAUUUCCUGUGAUUGGCCAGAGGUAGCCAUGAAGGAUUCUGUAUUUAGAAAAGUCUUUAAAUUCCAAGAAAAAGAGGAGGUAGGACGAAAGGGAGCUGUGAUCAAUAGCAGAGGUAUCAUUAUGUGGAUAUAAAGAAGGGUUGUGUAAUGAUCCUCUUUAGCACAGAGUUCAGAGACCUAGAUAAUGUCAACACUGGAAAGGUGUUUAUGUAGAAUUUUGGCACAUUUCUUGUGGAAGUAGUGAGCAAGGACCAGAAAUUAUGGGUGGUUACUGUGACUCUGGACACCGUUGAUCAUCUGUACCUGUUGUCAUGGAGAUCAGGGUAACAGACAAACUCCAGACCAUAUGGUACCACAGCUGACAGCUAAGAUUCAUCAACAGAAAAGCAGCCUGGGAGCCCACAUUCCUAUCAGUAUGACAGCAAGGACAAAUCUGGUUCAGUUCAUCAAAUACAAGUCUUGACCAGUAGAUUAACUUAGACCUGUUUCCGUACCAAGAUUGAUCUGACAGGAUUGACCCAUCUCUGAGGGAAUUCUCACUAAAUUUGAGUUCAGAUUAAGCAGCUUAGAUGUCUGCCACACCUACUGAACUUUACAUCAAUCGAAAUCAAGUGAAGUCCAAUGCGUUUAAUUCUUAAAAAUUAAAAGAUGAUAUACAUAUCGUAUACUUUGAUGUUGUGAAAAACUCAAAAACUGGAUUAGGGAAGGAAAGGAAGCCAAUGUUCAGAUUUACGCAUCGGAUAUUAUUUUCAGAAAUGAUGAUAAAAUAAAUCUACUAAUUUCUCAGGUAAAUAAAUACAUUUACAGAAAAUCAAAAAUUGGAGGGCAUCUGUAAUUCAGUGACAUGGAAUGUUUUCUGAACUAAAAAAUAAUGCUUUGCUUGUCUUUAUAUGUAUUUAUUUUACACAGUAGUUACAUGUAGCACGCAAUAAAGAGGCAUGGUAGGGUAUACGGAUAUGUAUGUGUAGGUAUGUUUUUGAAAAAAUGUGUAUGUGAAAAGUGAUUGUACUGCACAUUUUAAUGCUUAUUUCUUAAGUCUAAUUAAAGAAAAUAUACAUUCUAUUUUAUACAUUCUAUAAUAUACAUCUUUAAUAAUCCUUACAUAGAAUACGUGUUUAAAUGUUUGUACGAUGUAUAGUUUAUUUAUUUUAAGAUUAAUUAUUGAAAGUAAAAGUUCAAUAAAAUAGAUUUAGAAAAAGAAUUUACUUUAAAAAUUUUUAAUGUAAAUCAGAAGUCAAAUAUUGGUGUAUUGGAAUUAAGUAAUUAUUAAAGUGCUUCAUUUAUUGUAAAUAAAAGUCAUGUGCUGGCUUCUUGC